rnacentral:lncRNA from 1 species
UUUAUUUAUUACAAAAUGAACAUUUACAAAUUAUAAAACAGUUUAUAUUCUAUUAAAAAAUAAACAAAAUUAACCCCUUGCAAACUUUUAUUCACAUUCAUCAUCCGAAUAUUCCGUUUGUUGAGAGUGGGGAAAAUUUAAAUAAAAACUGCAAUAUUGCUCUGGUAUAGCUUUAUCAGAGCACAAAGCAACAAGAUCUUUAUAUUUUGAAGUGGUUAUGGGGAGUAACCCAUUAUAUGCUAAAGGAAUUUGUACUUCCCAUAAAUCGUGUAUAUUUUUAUUCCUGGAUUUGGUAGCCCUUUUGCUCGAUUUUGGUUUGCAUUCUAAGUUUAUAAACGAUAAUUGAUCAGAAAUAAGAUCGUACUAAAAACUAAUAAUAUGUGGUUGUUGUUUAUAUAUUUGUAUUUUCGACCAGAAAACUUGGCGUUUAUCUAUAUCUAAAUCCCAAUUCGGUAUUUUCUUUAACAUUGAUUUAAAGUCCAAGAUGUCAUUUUGACUUAGUUAUUUUAAAUCGUAUGGUUUUCCUGUGACUUUAGCACACCUUAUCAGUGUAUACCACUGUUGUGGUACAUAAACAACUUGGUUCUUUUUUCUUCGCUCAAUAAGGACGUGCAUUGGAUCACCCUCAGAUUGAGAGUGGCCCACCUCAAAAAACGUGUGUGUAAUAAAAAUAUUCAUGAUCUUUGCUGCAUAAAUGUACAUUAAAAAUAUUAUUCGAUUUCGAUUUUGUCCUCCACAACAAUCUGAAUAAAAUCUAAACUCUAAUGCUCCACCAGCAACUUUUCUCUUAAUAAAAUCAAAUAGCGCACUAUUUAUUUCAUUAGACCCCUUUUUACCUGUGGUUUCAUCCCAUGCAUAACAAUAAACUUCCGCAGAUCCAAGAUCAAAGAUAAUAAAGUUAUACACUUUAAACUUCCUUUUAGAAUAAAACAAUGAUACCUCUGAUUGGAGCGUAGUUAAUAUUUUUUGCAGUUACUUGCAAAUCAAAGCAGGCAGUUACAACCGUUUCUGUUUUCUUACAAACCUCUUUAUCGCGAUUUUUGGCUUCACGUGCAACACAUUUAUUUGCAAUAUGUAAGGCAUAUUCUUUUUCUAUUUGGUCUUUCUCUGCUUUAGUGUUAUUUAGAUUUCAAGUAAGACACAUAUCUUUUUUCGGUGCAAAAAAACCGAUAUUAAACUCAGUAUUGAAUAUGUUUCUGUAUUGACUUGGUGGCUGGUUUAUCGCAUGGGUGAUUCUCUAACAUCCACUCAUUAUAUGGUGAAUACAAUUUGGGAAACGUUAAAGUACAUCUUACUUGUUCUUUGCCUUACGUAAUGAGAUUCUUUUGCUGGAACAGAGUUUAUAUGCGCACGAAUCGAAUUUUUAAUACUUUCGUCUACAACAUUUGCCCUGUUCUUGUGGCGACCACGCAUAUUUCCAGGUAUACGGCCUCCGCCUUCAUGACUAUCAAUUUUUUUGAAUAGUGUAGUUAACCACAUAUUAUCUGUUAUGUUAAAAGUGUCCAAAAAUGUUUUCUUACAAACUUGUAGUCGGUGUUCUGCUAACUGCAAAUUAUAUUCAUAUGUGUCUUACUGUGCCAGUGUCUUCUGGACUCUUUUAGCUUUGUAACUUUCCUCUCUUGUCUGAGAACAUAUUUAUUAUCUACAUAAAUAUUCGCUUUGUUGGUCAUUAUCAGCCAUUGCCCGAAAAUUAUUAAAUAAACUGAGUCUAUCAUUUUCAGAUAAUUUCGAUUUACAUUUUCUGAUACAUUUAUCGUUACAUCCAGAGUUCCUCAGUUUCUUCAAGACAUUCAUUUUCCAAACACUAGGAUCCCUUUGUCCCUUCCUUCCAAGAUUUUUCUUCUUGGGGUAUUGUUUUUUCUUAGCAGACGUAUCUAAUGGUGAACUUGUAUCUUCGGUGAAUGUAGAAGUUUCCACUGUCGAUGUAACUUGAGCGUGCAAUCCACUUUGACCAUUGAUUAUCUUUUAUCUGAGUUUCAUCAGUAGAAGUUAGUUUAGCAGUGAAUGAUAUAGGUGCUAUUAUUUUUGUUUGAAAUUCUAAACUAGUAUUUUUACGUGAGUUUUUACGAUUUGAGGCAUGCUUACUAUGCUCAGCAGUUAAUAAUAUAGAAUUUACUUACUGACUACAUUGACUUACAAUGUUGUUCAUCGUAAUAUUACAGUACCUUGCUUUCUUGUAUCACAACUUACAAUGCAGUUAUAAAAACUUACUCAAUAAAUGUUUCGAGAAAAACAUUGUAUCCCAUGUUACAAUGUUUUAGUAAAAAAUUUUCAUCAAUAAUAAAAAAUUUUAAUAUUGUAACAUUGGUUACAACGUUUUUUCCACCCAGUGAUCAAAAAUUUGCACUUACAAUGAGGUUAUUUUGUUAAAUAACUUUAUAAUUACAUAAGAUAGGAUAAAAGUUCUUAGACCAAAUUGAAGGUUAUCGUUUAUAGAUGCUAUUUAAGCCAUAGUUGAAAAACAUUGUAAGUGGAGA